GUUAGUGGCGGACGGGUGAGUAACGCGUGGAGAACCUGCCGUAUACUGGGGGAUAACACUUAGAAAUAGGUGCUAAUACCGCAUAAGCGCACAGCUUCGCAUGAAGCAGUGUGAAAAACUCCGGUGGUAUACGAUGGAUCCGCGUCUGAUUAGCUGGUUGGCGGGGUAACAGCCCACCAAGGCGACGAUCAGUAGCCGGCCUGAGAGGGUGAACGGCCACAUUGGGACUGAGACACGGCCCAAACUCCUACGGGAGGCAGCAGUGGGGGAUAUUGCACAAUGGGGGAAACCCUGAUGCAGCGACGCCGCGUGAGUGAAGAAGUAUUUCGGUAUGUAAAGCUCUAUCAGCAGGGAAGAAAAUGACGGUACCUGACUAAGAAGCCCCGGCUAACUACGUGCCAGCAGCCGCGGUAAUACGUAGGGGGCAAGCGUUAUCCGGAUUUACUGGGUGUAAAGGGAGCGUAGACGGCAGCGCAAGUCUGAAGUGAAAUCCCAUGGCUUAACCAUGGAACUGCUUUGGAAACUGUGCAGCUAGAGUGCAGGAGAGGUAAGCGGAAUUCCUAGUGUAGCGGUGAAAUGCGUAGAUAUUAGGAGGAACACCAGUGGCGAAGGCGGCUUACUGGACUGUAACUGACGUUGAGGCUCGA
rnacentral:rRNA from 1 species